rnacentral:rRNA from 1 species
UGAGGAAUAUUGGUCAAUGGGCGGAAGCCUGAACCAGCCAUCCCGCGUGCAGGAAGAAUGUCUUACAGAUUGUAAACUGCUUUUCCAUUAGAAUAAUAAGGGGGACGUGUCCUCUGAUGCAGGUAUAAUGGGAAUAAGCAUCGGCUAAUUCCGUGCCAGCAGCCGCGGUAAUACGGAAGAUGCGAGCGUUAUCCGGAUUUAUUAGGUUUAAAGGGUGCGUAGGUUGUGUUUUAAGUCAGUGGUGAAAUAUUGUAGCUUAACUAUGAUAAGCCAUAGAAACUGGGACACUUGAGUGCAGAUGAGGUAGGCGGAAUGUGUUGUGUAGCGGUGAAAUGCAUAGAUAUAACACAGAACACCGAUUGCGGAGGCAGCUUACUAAGGUGCAACUGACACUGAGGCACGAAAGCGUGGGUAUCAAACAGGAUUAGAUACCCUGGUAGUCCACGCUGUAAACGAUGAUUACUCGUUGUUGGCGAUAAACAGUCAGCGACUAAGGGAAACCGAUAAGUAAUCCACCU